GCGCACGCAGCGCCCACUCGCCUUCUUAUGCAGCUGUGUGGGGCUGCCCGGGAGGCUGCGGGCAGAAGCCACCUCCACAUGCACCUGCUGUACGGAACCCCGUGGUGACAAUCGUUAUUACUACUAUUAUGCUUAAUGACAAUGACCACUAUUAUUUGUUUAGUCUUCUCGAUUACACGCUGCUUAACUCUUAUCUAGGGUCUGGGCUGGCAUUUCUUAAUGCUGCGCUUUUGCGCGGCAGAGUCCGUUGCUAGUUUUGCAGUAUCCUGGAAAAGCGCACUUUGUUUUCCUUCUGUUUCUUUAAUCCAACCGAUUUUGUCUUUCUCUUCUUUAAAGUUCCUGGUUGAAGAGGAGCUGUGUAGGAAUAAGGGGACUAGGGGUCCAGGUUGCUUUAGAAACCCAUUUCUCAUUGUCAUAGUCAUUUGUUGUGAUUAUCGUAUUGUAGCUUUUCUCCUCUGUCAUGGUGUUGAUGAACCUGUACGUACAGUGUACAUAUGCACAGUGAUCGUUUGUGUUUGCACGUUUGUGUAUGUUUCUCUGGAGAUUUGAGGAAGAAAGCGAUUUUAUUGGGUAGACGUGUAAAUCCCAACUCGGACAGUAAAAUAUAUGGGCAUUCCUUCUUUUUUUUUUAAUAUAAGUGCAGGUGCAGGAACUUUAGUAACAGAUGUUGGAAGAUGAGAGACUUCUGUAUAAAUAUAGUUCUAGUUUUGAGAACCUUUCAAAAUGUAUGUCCUAACCAAGACCUCCAUUUUCUGCUUAGAAGCAAGUAUAUAUUUUUAAAUAACAAUGAAAGAAAUGAAAAAGUAAAAGUCAUGCCUCUAUUUCGUCAGACUCUGGGAAAUACGCAACUUGUUUUCCUUUAGGGUGUUAAAUGUAGGUUCCCCACCCACCCCCGCCUCCACCUGGUUUGAUUACUGUGUCCUAAUUAGAUUGCUGCCCCAAAUCAUGGAUUUAUCUCAGUUUUGCUUGUGUCUGCUUCAGACAGACAAAAAAGCUGAACACAAAUGGCAAAUCCAACUGUUAGGUUUUUGUGUCAAGUAAUAUAUUUUGUAUCUGAUGUUGCAGCAUUCUUAGGAAAUUGUGUGUGUGAACACAAUGCCUAUAUUUUUAGUUCAUUUAAUAUAUUUGUACAUAUUUUGUAUGUGUGAAAAAUGUUUAAAUUCUUAAGCAUAAAAAUGUGUAAGUGCCAAUAUGUAAAUUGGGCCAGGUUCCUAUGCUCUUAAAAGACUUUUGCACCAUGAGAACUACUGGGAUUCAGUUUUACUGACCGAUGCAUGGCCUUGAAAAUUUGGGCUUAGUAGUGCAAAGUCAAAAUCUAGGCAAUGUGCUUAUCAAUAUAUAUUUUUGAAAUGCUUUGUCAUACAUGGAAUCAGGCAUCAGACUUUAUUCCGUGAAGAUUUCUUCUAGCAAGUACCAAGCCAGAGCCUAAUAUUUUGCUUUCUACUGCUAGUUCUACUACUUAGCAGCAAACAUUUAAGUAAAUGAGAUUAUUAUUAUGAAAAGAAAAUCCAAGGCUUGGUGUGUUUUAUAUGUAUAUAUCAGUUAUUCUAACACAUCUUACAUGCUUCAUCUAUAGAAAUGAGGUACAAAUGGAGGAGGGAUUUAGAAAGCACCAAUGUAAUUCGACUUGGAUUAUUUUAUUGCAUAUUAUAUUUUGAAAAUUAUUAUUAAUACCUCGAUUUUCUUUCUUUUUAAAAUAUGUCUCUUUGAAAUAAGGUAGCUCCCUCUUUGACUGUAAGGGUCUAUUUUAUCAAUUGUACAGUACAGUCAGCCUACUUAUUUCUCCCAUCAGCUUUGCAGUUUGGCACAACGAUGUGAAGCUUGUCAAAGAGAACCAAAUCGCUUUUGCUCUAUUUGCAGAUUGCAUUAGGCCAGGGUAACGGUCAGAGUUUUUCUAAACAACUGGGUAAGUGUGGAUUUAAUUCAACAUUUUACCUUAUUGAAAUAACUAGAGUAAUUGUGCUUUCGUGCUCAUAUUAGUUUUUAAAAGUUCCUUCAAAAAAUUAAUAGUUAUUUUUGAGUGCACUUUGGGUAAACUGAUGAGUUUCCAGGGUAAGACCAGGGCACUAAAAUGCUUUUGCGGAACAGGUAUUUUCUUGGUCUGAAUUAACCAGACUGCCUGUUUAUAUUAAUUAUUUACUGAGAAAUGUCCUUAGACUUCACCAGUCACAAAGGCUUAAAUGUAAACAUUUAUUUCGUGUUUUUUUUUUUUUUUGUUGUUGUUGUUGUUAUCACCUACGGAACAGUUUUAUGCUUUCUUAAAUGCUAAUAAAGAUAUUUUGAAGAAGCUGCUUUUUACCCUCCAUAUCUCACUGUAAUGGCAAAACGUCACUCCUGUUCUUAAAGACUUUUUGGCUAGUCAUUUCUUUUUAUCUUUCAAGAUGAUAGUUACUUCUUCUCCUUUGUGUGAACUAGAGGUCCUGGGAUUACUUUCAAAGAGAACGAAUAAUAAGUAAAUGUCACGCAACCUACAUCACAGAAUUAAAGGAAAUAUUCUCAAACAUAAUGAAAGGACAACAUUUAUUUGUUUUAAAAAGUGUAUUAAUUUUGCAGAAGUUGUGUGAUAGAUAUAUUUACAAAAU